rnacentral:lncRNA from 1 species
AACAGGCCUUUGCAAUAUUUCAAAUCGCCAAACAUCGCUGGAAAACACAGGUUUGAAAGCAAAUGAAUUCUGCUGAAAAGAGAAGACUAAUCUGUCUGUAAUAUAUUAUCAAAAUAUGUGUUCAACUUUCAAAUAGCCCUACUGAGCCGAAAAUCAUGGUUUUACAAAGUAAAACAAUGCGUUACAAAGUUACACAAGAAAGUUUGGCUUUUGGUACGAGCGCAUCGACCAUUCGCGGGUGAGUGAGCUGCGCAUCCUUGGCAAAGAUGAAUGGACAUUUGAUGAUACAGCCACAGAAAAGAGAAUUUGAUAAUAAACAUUCAUGAAAACAGUGACGAUUGAAAGCUGCUGAUAUUGUUCACUGGAGCGUCAUUUGCCCCCUGCAACUUGUGAUGCAAUGAGACUUUAGGUUUAAAAACAUGACAGAGACGUUGCUCUGCUUUAGAGAGGAAAGUGGGGUUUGAUGAGCACACUAGUGGAAAAAAAGACUGAUGUGUUAUCACUGGUGAUGAAAAAUGUUAGUUGGCUCUCAGUACCAUGCUUACUCCAAAGGACACUAUCUGGCCCAGAAAGACGGUGUGAGGAGAGGGUGUGUGUGUGUCUGUCACAACACCAGGGGUCUACACACUCAACUCCAAGAGGACCAUGUGGAGACCAUGCUUGUUUCCAUUAUACAAUUACAAUAGCAAAAAAUGCAGGAUACAGUAUAUGUUCCAAAAUUGACGUUUGAAUGUUAUAUGCUACAGUACUGUACAUUACAGUACAUUACACUGUUAUCUUAUUAGGCAAUACCUUUGCACUACCCAUUAAAAUGUACUGAACAUAACAUUUCCAUCAUUUCUAUCCCAUGUGUGAUCAUUGAAGACAUCUUUCACAAUCAUUAAUGCAAAAAAUAAAUGUAUUGUUUAAAUAUAAUUACUACAUAGGUCUACUGUAAUCAAAAAGACCCUAUCAAAAAGUCCCCAGCGACGUGUAUGCAAUUUAUAAUUUCUAGAACUACAGAACAACAAUCUUUAUAUAAUCUAUAUACAAAUGUCAAAUAUUGACUGACUGAGUUUGAUAUGCUACUUCUGAUUUGCUGAUUCCUUUCAUGACUAUAGGAGGUAAACUUUUCCCACGGCACAGAAGACGUGGAUGUCGUUUAAGGCCGCCCCCCGCACCUCUCUGAUUCAGAGGGGUUGGGUUAAAUGCGGAAGAUACAUUUCAGUUGAAGGAAUUGAGUUGUACAACUGACUAGGUAUCCCCCUUUCCCUUUAAACAUACAUGAUUACUAGUGGGUGGUGGAUUUCAUCCAUAAAAAAAGAGGGGACAAAACAGCAGAGGGCAGUACCGUAUUGCAAAUACCAAUACAUUAUAUUGUCACUAGCAACUGGAUGGAUACAAACAAACAACAGUUAAGAGUGGUGUGUUCAUGACAUGUUGGAAACUUGGAAAUACGAGCUUCCAAGUGGGAAAAAUCCAUCUGAACGGCCCACCAACUCAUAAUUACUUCUUUACAUGCUGAACUCUGACUUCAUCUAGUAAGGAAAUUACUUUGACGACAGCAUUUUCAGCAGUUAAAUACAACAACAAAAGGUUAUUUAUAAAAAAGCAAUCUAUUUAUAUGAUUAUUGAACACUAUAAUUUGUUCACGAGCAUAUUAGCUGUACCUUCGUUUAUGGUUGACUCCGCUAGUUUGCGUAGGUACGUCAACCACUCCGACGUAGCUAGAAUUCAAGCAACAAACACCCAGAAUUCGUAGCAACAAACACCCAGUUUGUUGCUACGAGUUUAGAAGAUGGAUUUCCAAACAUUCCAACUGAUUUAUAAUUAUAUAGAGCAAUAUUUCCAUCGUGUACCUUUCAGCAAUCAAAACACAGCAGAGUUACUUGAAGGAAGGAAGGCAAGAAGGAUUCAUGUUCAAAUAAUUUGAUCUGGGCCCCAAUUUAGCUGUUUGGGGUCGUUUUUUGGAUUGUUGAAAAAAAACAGACACAGUUAACUUGACAAUGAUGACAAAAGACAUUCAAGCCAGUGAAAAUGGAUGGAAAGCUGUUAUAAAUAAAUGCUCAGUGUUGCAGCUUUUGUCCUAAAUAUUAUUAGGCUUUGCAGAUAUGAUAUGAAGUGAAGUGUCACUACUUUAUAAUAUUUUUGGAAUAAUAACACAUUAUUCGUGAGUCUGUACGAUUUCAGCAUGUACUCAUCGGACACAGGGGAAUGUGGUGUUCAGCAUCUCUCUCUCUCUCUCUCUCUCUCUCUCUCCAACCAGCCCAUUUCCUGGAACACAGAAAGAUUGCGGUUCGGUCACUAGGUCAUAGUGAACUCUGAUAUCCUCCUGGAUCACAAUGCGCUGAUGCAACCCUGAUUAACUUUGAACCUUGAACCCCAACCUCAGUAAGAGGAUGGAAUCAAUGACGCAUUGUGGGCCAUACCAAAGGCCACUGGCUGAUGGGUCAACAUGGUGAUGGCAUGAGCAUCACAUCAUCACUUGACAUUUGUCUCAUCGUUUUGUCCCUCUAUCUAUCACUUUAUCCAUCUCCCCACUCCAACUCUCUUUCUACACUCUUCUUUACGCACACAGUGUCUCUUGAAAUUGUCCCUAGCCAUGUCAUACAUACAACAACAUAUGCAUCCCACUGGGCACAGACGUCAAUUCAACAUCUAUUCCACGUUGGUUCAAUGUAAUUUAGUUGAAAUGAUGUUGCAACAACGCUGAUUCAACCAGUGUGUGCCCAGUGGGAUGAGUACACAAAUUCAAUCACUGGAAUAGGACUUUGGAAAAGGAAAAAAACAAAUGAAUCUUGCCUAAUGAAAGAAGGAUGGAUGAAAAGAGAAGAAGGGAUGAAAAAUGAGAGAACAAUAAUGGGUGUUGGGGGAGCUCAAGGUACAAGAUGAACAGGGGAACAGAACAGGAAGAGGAAGCUGUAAUCAAUGCUAAUACAUUUUUUAUAGCUGCAGCCAAGCUUCAAUCUAUUGUUCCAUGUAUUGAUUCUGAGGGUUGAAACACUGCCUUGAAGCGGAAAGGUGCUUCUUGUAAGUAUUGUGUCAAAAUGGUGAGGAAUAAAAGGGAGGGGAGGGGAAGUUAGUCUUUGGUGCAUGUGUUUACUCUAUAACAAUCACCUCAGUGAAAUAUAACUGAGUAUAAUAUAUACUUUACUAUCUUUAUAUGUAAUCUACAACAGUGUGUAUACAUACAGGUAACUGCCAAAAUAAAGGAAACACCGACAUAGUGUCUUAAUAAUAGGGCGCUGACCGCCAGAACAGCUUCAAUGCUGUUGGAGGGAUGCGACACCAUUCUUUCACAAGAAAUUCCAUCAUUUGGUGUUUUGUUGAUGGUGGUGGAAAACGCUGUCUCUGGCACCGCUCCAGAAUCUCACAUAUGUGUUCAAUUGGGUUGAGAUUUAGUGACUGAGAUGGCCAUGGCAUAUUGUGAAACAUAAGCAAGUUGAGCAGUCUUUGUCACUGAAGUUCCUUUCAAACGCGCCCCAACAAUCACCCCUCUUUCAAAGUCACUCAGAUCUCUUCUUCUAGCCACGAUAGCCAAAAUAAUGGGCAACUGGGCCUGCCUAGCAUUUUUUACAUGACCCUAAGCAUGAUGGGAAGUUAAUUCUACACCUGUGUUGAAGCUCCUGCUU